GACGAACGCUGGCGGCGUGCCUAAUACAUGCAAGUCGAGCGAAGUUUUUCUGGUGCUUGCACCGGAAAAACUUAGCGGCGAACGGGUGAGUAACACGUAAAGAACCUGCCUCAUAGACUGGGACAACUAUUGGAAACGAUAGCUAAUACCGGAUAAUAGCAUUAACUGCAUGGUUGAUGUUUAAAAGUUGGUUUUGCUAACACUAUGAGAUGGCUUUGCGGUGCAUUAGCUAGUUGGUGGGGGAAAGGCCUACCAAGGCGACGAUGCAUAGCCGACCUGAGAGGGUGAUCGGCCACACUGGGACUGAGACACGGCCCAGACUCCUACGGGAGGCAGCAGUAGGGAAUCUUCAGCAAUGGGCGAAAGCCUGACGGAGCAACGCCGCGUGAGUGAAGAAGGAUUUCGGUUCGUAAAGCUCUGUUGUUAGGGAAGAAUGAUUGUGUAGUAACUAUACACAGUAGAGACGGUACCUAACCAGAAAGCCACGGCUAACUACGUG
rnacentral:rRNA from 1 species